UCUCGGGUGAUGUUUGCUGGUCUGGUUAGUCACAGGCUGGAGAAGUCACACCCAGCAGGGCUGGCAGUGAGUUUAUAAAGAAGUUAGGGGGAGGGAGAGCAUAGGUCUACAGUGGCACAAGGAUUGGCUAGCCUAAGGCACGUGUCAUUGGCCUUUACAGUAGACAAAGGACCAGAAAGUUAUUACUCCUUUUCUAGGUUGGGAGGAAGCAGCAGCUGGGGAUUUUGGCACGUCAUCAGGCCAGAAUCUGUUGGUCUCUUUCCCUUACUAGGCUGGGGUUGGGGGCUUUGCUGCCCCCUUUCCUUAUUUGGUGAGGGCUGAGCUCAUCUGAUGUGCUCCCCCCUCCCUCCAGUGCCUCCAGCCUUACAUUCCAGCCUUUUGGUUAUAAUGGGCACUGACUCAAUAUGGCUACUUCUGGCUGAGGAGGGGCAGUGUGGGCAGGGUUAAGGCUGGUGGGAGGCCAGAGGAAGCUUGGAGGGAAGGGGUGAGUACUGAUGUACUAGCAUAGUCUUGUGCACCUCUACCAUCUGACCUCUCUAUCGGUGGCCGGAGGUUCCAGCAGAUAUAUUGUCCUUGUCUCUCAGGACUGACAUAUCCAGCAUGAUUACCCAGGCUUCGCCCUGUCCAGUACUGUUGUCUGGAAAAUGAGAGACAGACCGAGACUCGUUCAUAGCAGGCAGCCUGGACAAAGGAAUGGAAAGAUGAGCAUUGGGUGGGACAAGCGGGUAUCUUUCCUUGGGGAUUUGGUGGAGGGUCUCGUACCUAGCAAAUGGUCUUGCUGACUCCUCUUGGGCAGCCAGUUUGGAAAUCUCUUAACAUUACAGUGGCCCAGUACAAUUGUUCUCCCUGCUGACAAGGUACUUUUUGAAAGCAUGUCCGGGGGACCAAUUGGUGUAGUUGGAGCAUACUUGAUAUGACUCACUGGUUACAGACACAGUUUGCCAGAGCCAGAUGGGUCAUUGUGGCCAGCACCAGUGUGAGUAAGGCACAAAUGGGGGGGCCCUGUCUCUCUAGACCUCCACCUAUCAUGACUAGGUGCUUGUUUGAGCCUGGAGAUGUGGUACAACAGAGAGUGUCCCAAUAGCUUGGCAGCCGUGGGAGUGGUAAGGAUCACCAUGUAUGGUCCCAUCCACCAUGGUUGGAGUUCUUUAAGAAGGACUUUGUCUCCCAGCUGUAGAACCUCCGUGAUUCCUGGAUCUGAGGGGGAGGUGGGUUGAGGCAGCAACUGGUCUGCGUGUUCCCUGAGGAGAUGUCUUAGGGGUGAGAAGUAAGGGCUCAAAAGAAAUGUGAUCAGACCAGAAACAAGGCUUUGUGACGGGAGGAAUGUCAGUAAGGAUGGAAGCACCACAGUAUCUGCUCCUUCGUGCCAGCUGUACAGUGGUUUCCUCUUCCUGAGCCAGCCGUUUUGUGCAGUGUCCUCUGCCCUUUUCCUAAUUCCAACAUACUCCUACCCAUAACUGGAUUCUCUAGGGUGGGCAGGUGUGGGGAAUAAAAUUCAUAUGUUCCCUUAGGGGCGAGUAUUGGGAUUCAGCUGGCUAGUUUAAAAAUGUCUUCCCCUCCCAUUCUGAUAGGCUCUAGAGGGGUAUGUGGCCUCCUCCCUAUGAAGCUGGUGACUUAAGACUAACACAGGAAAUAAGAAAGAAAAAAAAAAGGUUAAGCUGAAGCUAAUUUAAAUGAUCUUUGGAGUUUGGAGCAGUUGAGUAACAAGAAAUGGGGCUUAAGACAGCUGAGCCCUUAAUGAGGUUGGGACUUCCCAGGUAGAGAGGAAAGGGAUUGGUUUAUAGGCAUCUGGAGGAAGCAGAAAGUGAAGGAAGUUUAAAGAGACAGGAAGUACACAGGGAUAGUGAAGCCACACUGCAUAGGCACAGUAGUUUAGAUGCGUUAGGCCUUAGAAAAGCAAAGGUUUUUGAACAAAAGAGUGACAUAGUUUAGUGCUGAAUAAAGGAUUAAUCUGGCAACAGUGUUCAUUUUAAAUUGAAGGGGACAGGGUGAGGGGAGUGGAGUGGGAAGGACAUUUGAGCCAGGCUUGGGCCUCGUUAUCAGGUCACCACUGUGACACAAGCUGGGAGGCCUUGUGUAAGUGCUUGGCCUGGCUGAGCCUCUGUUUCCUCAUCUGUAAAACGAUGUGUCAGAGGUUUCUGGAAGGAUUAAUCAUUCACUAAGUAUUUUACUGGGUUUCUAGAAUGUGCCAGAUACUUUGCUAGGUGUUGGAUACAAAAAUGGAUAAAAAAAAGACAGUCUCUGUCUUCCAGGAUCUUAUCAUCUAGUAGAGGAGGAUAGACAAUAAAAAAGUUAGUAAACAGAAUAAACCCGCAAAGCGUGAUAAGGUGAUAGUGUGUAUAAGGUAGGCAGGAGAGGCAUCUACUUUUCAGUCAAGGGGUCAGGGAAAGUCUGAGGACGUGGGGUUGACUGAGACCAGAGUAUUGUGACGGAGACUGUCAGGCAAAGAGCAAAAAGAGGAAUAAUAUGUUCAGGGGGCAGGAAAAGUUUGGUGAGUUCCCAGAACUGCAAAGAACCCUAGAGACAAGGGAUGCACUGGGGGAGAAAGGCACUGAGAUGGAAAGGAGAGCGGUGGCUGGAUCUUGGUGGCAAUCUGGCUUCUAUUCUAACUGAAAUGGUUUAUUAUGCAAAACAACCUUUGGAUUUGACAUUCCUGCAAGACUCCCUCUUGGAUUAUUCUCUGGCUCCAAAUGACACAGCCUGUAAGUGAGAGACACAGCCUGUUCAUGAAUCCAUCCAGGUUUCUGGGACAUCAUGCCCAGCCCAGGGGUUCAGGACCCUGUGCCUCCUAGUCUACAAAGUUGAUCAGAGUUAAUUGGAUAAAUCAGAAGUUUCUUAAGAAGAUUUUUUCUUUUCUCUGACUCCUGAGGACUUAUACCAAUUUCUCACUCAUGACAGAAAUUCAGUAAACAUUUGCUGAAUAAAUGAAAUUAAUGGAUGGAUGGAUUAAAAUUAAGUAUAUGCUAAUAAGAAUAUGACUUGAAAGUAGUUUGAAAUUCUUAAGGAAUAUGCUGACUUUUACCGGACAAGGAUCUGAGAAGAUGGAGCCUUCAACCCUGGCAUGAGCCAACGGCUUCUCUUGGGAAGUCCAGCCCAUUUACUCCAGGCCUGAUUCAGGCGACAGCCCUUCCCACAGAGUUUGUGAGGUGGCUAGAUCAGGUUCACCAAGGCAGGCUCCUUAUAUGUGGAAUACUGUGUGGCUUGUGAGUGACCUCAAGCAAUUGGAUUUUACUUAUCAUAAAAUAUUUUCUAGUUCUGGAAGACAUUAAGUUCUCUGAAAUUAAGACUGUGUAAAAUUAUUUUUAAAAGCAACAAUUACCAGAGGCCAAUCUUUCUAUCAUCAGCACAUACCAGAAGCCAAUCUAUCAUCAGCACAUAUCAUUCUUUCUUUAAAAAGAUCACUUCAACACAAGAGCCCAU